GACGAACCGUGCGAACGUUGUUCGGAAUCACUGGGCUUAAAGGGCGCGUAGGCGGGCUGUCAAGUCCGGGGUGAAAUCCUCCAGCUCAACUGGAGAAUGGCCUCGGAUACUGAUGGUCUCGAGGAGGAUAGGGGCACACGGAACUGUGGGUGGAGCGGUGAAAUGCGUUGAUAUCCACAGGAACUCCGGUGGCGAAAGCGGUGUGCUGGAUCCUUUCUGACGCUGAUGCGCGAAAGCCAGGGGAGCAAACGGG
rnacentral:rRNA from 2 species